rnacentral:rRNA from 1 species
AGAGUUUGAUUAUGGCUCAGGAUGAACGCUAGCUACAGGCUUAACACAUGCAAGUCGAGGGGCAGCAUGGAGUAGCAAUACUCAGAUGGCGACCGGCGCACGGGUGAGUAACACGUAUCCAACCUGCCGCUUACUCGGGGAUAGCCUUUCGAAAGAAAGAUUAAUACCCGAUGGUAUAAAGAGUUCGCAUGUUCUCUUUAUUAAAGAAUUUCGGUAAGCGAUGGGGAUGCGUUCCAUUAGAUAGUUGGCGGGGUAACGGCCCACCAAGUCUACGAUGGAUAGGGGUUCUGAGAGGAAGGUCCCCCACAUUGGAACUGAGACACGGUCCAAACUCCUACGGGAGGCAGCAGUGAGGAAUAUUGGUCAAUGGACGAGAGUCUGAACCAGCCAAAAGUAGCGUGAAGGAUGACUCGCCCUAGUGGGUUAGUAAACUUUCUUUUAGUAAGGGAAAUAAAGUGAGGGACGUGUCCCUUUUUGUAUGUACCUUAUGAAUAAGGAUCGGCUAACUCCGUGCCAGCCGCCGC